rnacentral:tRNA from 1 species
CGGGCUAUAGCGCAGUUGGUAGCGCGCAUGCAUGGGGUGCAUGAGGCCGUGGGUUCAAGUCCCACUAGCCCGA